UUGUGAAAGAAACAAUUUAAUGAAAAAAAGUCAUUAAAAAUUCUAAAAGCAGUUCAUUUUAUUCUGGAAUAAAUGAUUCAUGAUAGAUGAUUCAUAAAUAGUUCAUUUUAUUUUUGAAAUAUCAUUGAAAUUAAUUUAUAUGCACCAACAACUGUUAAAACCUGAGUUAAAAGUGGUUAAAAUGGAGAAAAGGAGAAAUAGAGAGAAAAAAGGAAAAAAAGAGAGUUGCUGCAGAGGGCUACGUAGAACGACCCAAUCAGUGAACCCCUCUGGGUUCAGGUGAUCAACCCUGUAGGGUCACGUCCGGUCUUCUCUUCCGAUUCUGCGGUCAUGUUUACCUCUGCUGCCUCAUGUGCUACCUGAUCCAAACCGCGAGUAAACCUGUUGCCAUCCACGGGAGCUCCGUGAGACCGGAUGAUUUCCGCCGACCUGGCGAGGGUAAAUGCUGAAACUGUGCUCCUAGCUUGAUCACUCGGUGAGUUUUUUUUUCCUGUGACAUCAUUAGAUGACGUCCCAGCCACAUCCCACCGUCCAGUGGAGAGCUUCAGCUGGUUUCGUGUGAAGUUUCCAGAGAUCCAGAGAUUGUUUCCAGAUCCCAGAUCCAUAGAUUCCCAGCGUGAGCUGGGUGGCGAGCCGCAUCGAAACUACUGAUACUGAACUCUGAGAGUGGAGAAGAAUUCCUUCAUUCCCCCUUUCUCACAGACCGUGUGGUAGGACAGAACAAACAUACACUGAUCCACUAAUACACUUGACACGGAUCCGAAGAAACAAGGGCCCCAACGGUAACUUUGGGACACAAAGGGUUUUUCUUUUUGCCGGCUUUAUUAUUUUAGUUUGUUAUUUUUCAUUGAAUGUCUUGCAACAACUGUUGUAUUUUCAUUGUGUUAUUGGUUAAUAAUAACAAGUGGCCACAAAAAACUUAAACCAUUGCCUGUGUCUUUUGAUUGCUCAACCACC